rnacentral:rRNA from 1 species
GAUGAACGCUGGCGGCGUGCCUAAUACAUGCAAGUCGAGUGAACAGACGAGGAGCUUGCUCCUCUGACGUUAGCGGCGGACGGGUGAGUAACACGUGGAUAACCUACCUAUAAGACUGGGAUAACUUCGGGAAACCGGAGCUAAUACCGGAUAAUAUAUUGAACCGCAUGGUUCAAUAGUGAAAGACGGUUUUGCUGUCACUUAUAGAUGGAUCCGCGCCGCAUUAGCUAGUUGGUAAGGUAACGGCUUACCAAGGCGACGAUGCGUAGCCGACCUGGGAGGGUGAUCGGCCACACUGGAACUGAGACACGGUCCAGACUCCUACGGGAGGCAGCAGUAGGGAAUCUUCCGCAAUGGGCGAAAGCCUGACGGAGCAACGCCGCGUGAGUGAUGAAGGUCUUCGGAUCGUAAAACUCUAUUAUUAGGGAAGAACAAAUGUGUAAGUAACUAUGCACGUCUUGACGGUACCUAAUCAGAAAGCCACGGCUAACUACGUG